UAAUGGGUCAGCGACUUAUAUUCAGUGGCAAGGUUAACCAUCUAGGGGAGCCGUAGGGAAACCGAGUCUUAACUGGGCGUUCAGUCUCUGGAUAUAGACCCGAAACCAGGUGAUCUAGCCAUGGGCAGGUUGAAGGUUGAGUAACAUCAACUGGAGGACCGAACCGACUAAUGUUGAAAAAUUAGCGGAUGACUUGUGGCUAGGGGUGAAAGGCCAAUCAAACCUGGAGAUAGCUGGUUCUCCCCGAAAGCUAUUUAGGUAGCGCCUCGGACGAAUACUACUGGGGGUAGAGCACUGUUAAGGCUAGGGGGUCAUCCCGACUUACCAACCCUUUGCAAACUCCGAAUACCAGUAAGUACUAUCCGGGAGACACACGGCGGGUGCUAACGUCCGUCGUGGAGAGGGAAACAACCCAGACCGCCAGCUAAGGUCCCAAAUUACUACUAAGUGGGAAACGAUGUGGGAAGGCUCAGACAGCCAGGAUGUUGGCUUAGAAGCAGCCAUCAUUUAAAGAAAGCGUAAUAGCUCACUGGUCGAGUCGGCCUGCGCGGAAGAUGUAACGGGGCUAAGUAGUAAACCGAAGCUGCGGCAAUAUACUUUUGUAUAUUGGGUAGGGGAGCGUUCUGUAAGCGGUUGAAGGUGUGUGGUAACGCAUGCUGGACGUAUCAGAAGUGCGAAUGCUGACAUGAGUAACGAUAAAGGGGGUGAAAAACCUCCUCGCCGGAAGACCAAGGGUUCCUGUCCAACGUUAAUCGGGGCAGGGUAAGUCGACCCCUAAGGCGAGGCCGAAAGGCGUAGUCGAUGGGAAACGGGUUAAUAUUCCCGUACUUCUUACAAUUGCGAUGGGGGGACGGAGAAGGCUAGGUGGGCCUGGCGACGGUUGUC
rnacentral:rRNA from 1 species